rnacentral:rRNA from 1 species
GAUUUCUGGUCUGGUGCGCUCAGCCCAGGGUGCAAACCUUUGUGUGCCGGGUCGCGCCUGCCAUCCUUCUAGAGAACGUGCCUACCCUUCACUGGGCCGGGUAUCGCCAUCUAGAUCUUUUACUUUGAAAAAAUUAGAGUGUUUAAAGCAGGCUGUUGCUAUGAAUACAUUAGCAUGGAAUAAUAAUUUAGGACUUCGGUUCUAUUUUGUUGGUCUUCUAGGACUGAAGUAAUGAUUGAUAGGGAUAGUUGGGGGUGCUAGUAUUCAGUGGCCAGAGGUGAAAUUCUCGGAUUCACUGAAGACUAACUUAUGCGAAAGCAUU